rnacentral:rRNA from 1 species
UACGAAGGGGGCUAGCGUUGCUCGGAAUCACUGGGCGUAAAGCGCACGUAGGCGGCUUCUUAAGUCAGGGGUGAAAUCCUGGAGCUCAACUCCAGAACUGCCUUUGAUACUGAGUAGCUUGAGUCCGGGAGAGGUGAGUGGAACUGCGAGUGUAGAGGUGAAAUUCGUAGAUAUUCGCAAGAACACCAGUGGCGAAGGCGGCUCACUGGCCCGGUACUGACGCUGAGGUGCGAAAGCGUGGGGAGCAAACAGGG